UACGUAGGGGGCUAGCGUUGUCCGGAUUUAUUGGGCGUAAAGCGCGUGUAGGCGGCCCGGUAAGUCCGCUGUGAAAGUCGGGGGCUCAACCCUCGAAAGCCGGUGGAUACUGUCGGGCUAGAGUACGGAAGAGGCGAGUGGAAUUCCUGGUGUAGCGGUGAAAUGCGUAGAGAUCAGGAAGAACACCAGUGGCGAAGGCGCUCUGCUAGGCCGCAACUGACACUGAGGGACGAAAGCUAGGGGAGCGAAUGGG
rnacentral:rRNA from 1 species